rnacentral:rRNA from 1 species
CGCGUAGGCGGGAUGGCAAGUCGGUCGUGAAAUCCUUCGGCUCAACCGAAGAACGUCGGCCGAUACUGCCGUUCUUGAGGGAUGCAGAGGAGACUGGAAUUCCCGGUGUAGCGGUGAAAUGUGUAGAGAUCGGGAGGAACACCGGUGGCGAAGGCGGGUCUCUGGGCAUCUCCUGACGCUGAGGCGCGAAAGCGUGGGGAGCAAACGGGAUUAGAUACCCCGGUAGUCCACGCCAUAAACGAUGACGACUAGGUGUGGGGUGGUUCGGUCCACUCCGUGCCGCAGCUAACGCAUUAAGUCGUCCGCCUGGGGAGUACGGCCGCAAGGUUGAA